rnacentral:rRNA from 1 species
AGGACGAACGCUGGCGGCGUGCAUAACACAUGCAAGUCACGGGGGCCAGUAGCAAUACUGGCAACCGGCGAACGGGUGCGUAACACGUAAGCGACCUACCUCGAUGUGGGGCAUAGCCGGCCUAACGGCCGGGUAAUUCCGCAUGUGAUCCUUGAGGGGCAUAUCUCGGGGAUGAAACCAGUAAUGGGCAUUGAGAGGGGCUUGCGGCCUAUCAGCUUGUUGGCGGGGUAACGGCUCACCAAGGCGACGACGGGUAGC